GACGUAGGGCGCGAGCGUUGUCCGGAUUUAUUGGGCGUAAAGAGCUCGUAGGCGGCUUGUCGCGUCGGAUGUGAAAGCCCGGGGCUUAACUCCGGGUCUGCAUUCGAUACGGGCAGGCUAGAGUUCGGUAGGGGAGAUCGGAAUUCCUGGUGUAGCGGUGAAAUGCGCAGAUAUCAGGAGGAACACCGGUGGCGAAGGCGGAUCUCUGGGCCGAUACUGACGCUGAGGAGCGAAAGCGUGGGGAGCGAACAGG
rnacentral:rRNA from 1 species